UCCUCCUUUCUUUGUUUGCCUCUCUCCUUAGCCUCCUCUUAUUUUUUUCUCUCUUCUUUUUUUUGCUUGUGUCACCACCGCCACCUUGUACCGAGCCGACGCCAUAACUAUUUUCCUUGUCUUCACUUCUCUUCUCCCCAUUCUUCUUCAUCUUUCAUAUUUUUCUCUUCUUCUCCUUUUUCUCCCUUUUUCACCACCAACAUGCUCUUUU
rnacentral:lncRNA from 1 species